rnacentral:rRNA from 1 species
AAAGAAACUAACAAGGAUUCCCCUAGUAACUGCGAGUGAAGCGGGAAAAGCUCAAAUUUAAAAUCUGGCAGUCUUUGAUUGUCCGAGUUGUAAACUAGAGAAGUGUUAUCCGCGUUGGACCGUGUAAAAGUCUCCUGGAAUGGAGCAUCAUAGAGGGUGAGAAUCCCGUCUUUGACAUGGACUACCAGUGCUUUGUGAUGCGCUCUCAAAGAGUCGAGUUGUUUGGGAAUGCAGCUCAAAAUGGGUGGUAAAUUCCAUCUAAAGCUAAAUAUUGGCGAGAGACCGAUAGCGAACAAGUACCGUGAGGGAAAGAUGAAAAGAACUUUGGAAAGAGAGUUAAACAGUACGUGAAAUUGCUGAAAGGGAAACGCUUGAAGUCAGUCGCGUCGGCCAGGAAUCAACCUUGCUUUUGCUGGGCGUACUUUCUGGUUGACGGGUCAGCAUCAAUUUUGACUGCUGGAAAAAGUUCAAGGGAAUGUGGCAUCUUCGGAUGUGUUAUAGCCCUUGUUCGCAUACAGCAGUUGGGAUUGAGGUACUCAGCACGCCGCAAGGCCGGGUUUCGACCACGUUCGUGCUUAGGAUGCUGGCAUAAUGGCUUUAAUCGACCCGUCUUGAAACACGGACCAAGGAGUCUAACAUGCCUGCGAGUGUUUGGGUGGAAAACCCAAGCGCGCAAUGAAAGUAAAAGUUGAGAUCCCUGUCAUGGGGAGCAUCGACGCCCGGACCAGAGCUUUUGUGACGGAUCUGCGGUAGAGCAUGUAUGUUGGGACCCGAAAGAUGGUGAACUAUGCCUGAAUAGGGUGAAGCCAGAGGAAACUCUGGUGGAGGCUCGUAGCGAUUCUGACGUGCAAAUCGAUCGUCAAAUUUGGGUAUAGGGGCGAAAGACUAAUCGAACCAUCUAGUA